UUUAUGUGCAGCUCACAAUUAACAAUUGAUUGAAGAAAGUGCUGUCGUUUUGCUGUCUUGCCAUGAGGGCUGCUUUAUUGAUUCUUAAUGUCUCCAGGCCUUUCCACACAGCAGUUUCCUUAGCCUCCUGCUCUGAGGGUGAUGGAACUGAGACACAUUCUCAUGUCAGGUUCCAGACUGUCCAUCUGACCCCCUUAGGUGCACAAGAUUUACUAGCAGACAUGAAGAGAUGUGGAAUUUAGCAGCUAGCUGAGUACAACUUGAUUACAUUUGGAGAAAAAGAAACAGGUGCAGAAA